AGUCCGCCGCCUCCCUCCGAGCGCAGGACGCUCCGACGCCCGCUUGCCCGCAGGCCACCGCAGGCCUUACUGGCUUUGGGCAAGUGCUGAAGUUCACUCAUUUUCUAUUGGUUGUUUCUCCCCAUGAAAGACAUUGAACAUAAGUGGUGUGGAAUAAUGUUAAGCUUCUCUGAUGGGUCCUAAAUGGUUGAAGAACACCCCUCAAGAGAUGGGAAGAUUCUAAGAGCCAGAGAGAAUGGAUUACUCCAAGGCAACACAAUGGGACUGAUGACCACAUGAACUCUUAGAGACUGUAGCAGCUUGCACCAGGCCUGUACAGGUUCAAGCCAGAUGGGGUUCCAGCACUGAGAGGGGAAUUGGACAUGGACGUCUACUCCUUACUAAGAAGCUCUCUGCAACUGAUACCGACUUGCAAAGGAAAAUAGUUUUCUCCAAUGAAGUACCACUGAGUAUAUUAACCAUACUUCAAGAAGACCUAUGCAACCAUGAGUAACUCCACUUCUGGAUAAUCCAGUGCCUUCUUUCUGACCGCCACAGGCAUGAGGUAGUGUGCAUUUUCUCCUGAACUGCCACCUAAUGUGCACACAUGGCUCAGCCUUCUGCAAACUUUUGGCCAAGGGAGAAAGCUCAGAGCUUGGCUGAUAUGCUGGACUCCCCAAAGUCUCCAGGUCUCCAGGGACGGUGCCUGUAACUUACCUGAAGAGGAACUGGUAGACAAGUCAUCUGAAAACAACUGAGGAAUCCUGCCCUGACCUAUCAGCUGUCUGCUGCCUCCCAACUCUUGCAGCCUUGGGAGAGGCACAUUCACUUGGAAAUGUGAUGAACAGGUGUCCAUUUACUUUGGAUUCAGGCCAAAGAGUCAAGCCAAUGUCAUUUGUAAGGCACAAUCAUUUUAAGUUCAGACCCAUGAAGAUCUUUUCUUGUACUUUUGUCUGAAUUAGAGAAACAACUUAAGCUGUCGUGCUUGGGGACAUUACUUUGAGAAAGCUACUUUGGAGGCACAACUCCCUAGGGUAAAGAAGAAAUAGCUUCCCGUCUUCCUAUGCAGGAAACUGCUGAAAUAGCUGACUCUACCCUCAAAGUUUAGAGUUCAUGUUCUCUGUGCACUUGGGUCCAUAUGUUCAAAGUGGCUUGGGAAAUAAUUUAUCAGUAGUUAACAUCCCUUUCCUAUCAGCUGUUUCCAGGAAAAAAAGCUAAUGUUGAGCAAUGGAAGUUGUUUCAACCUA
rnacentral:lncRNA from 1 species